UUUGCUGCUGUAGUUUGAUACAUUUAAACGCCAGAAAUUGUAGGAAUUCUUAGUUUUGAUGCUUAUAAUACUCCAUUUAAAAGUCCAGUCGCCAAUCAGAAGGAGAAAAACUAUCUGCUAAUUCCUAUAUUUGGAUGAUUGAUCGGUGCAAACAAUAGCUGGUCGUUUGUCUCCAAUGACUGUUUCAUAUGACGCACACUCACAACUAUUUAUUCAAUAAUACCCCAUAUGGACAAGAAAACAAAGUCUGCAGAGCAUGUUUCCGUUUGUUUUGGUGACUUUUCUAAGUAUCAGCUAUGUUUUCUAUAAUGAACAAUGAAACAAAAAGCAGAAAACGCAUUUCUAAAAUGAUUUAGGUUCAACAAACUAAUUAUCAUGCAGUAGAAUUGCAUCUUCUCCUGUUCGAGUCUAUUUCCUCCUUUUUGAUCAGGUCUUUGUUCUUAACAUGUUUUCUACUGCAGGACAGAAAGUGAAAACUAAGUGAGGUGAGCGCAGCAAAGCAGGAUCAGCUGAUGAGCGAAACAAAGAAGCGGCUCUGGUGCGUCUCUGGUCACCGCGAACAGGAAGAGGUGUCCAGACAAAAGCGUCACUGUCCUCAUCUGUUAGAAUAGACACUAAAAAGCAUUCAUCUUUUCUCCACAUCUGAAAUAUUUCAUCUUGGGAACCCCUUUUUCCAAUACGCUUAUUAGACUGUGUUUUAUUUAUUUUUUUCGCAAGCCAACAACAACCCAACAAAAGAGCUCGACGCAACAGAAGCGCAACAGUGUGGCUGAGCUGCUUUUACUGUUUCUGCAUUGUGACAGUGAACCCAACACGGCACCAGAACCCAAAUCUUCCUCACAGAUGCAAUAAUAAAAACAUUGUUGUGCUGGAGUUGGAUCUACUCACCACCUGAGACAGAUCAAAGCGCAGCUCGGGGUAAACCAGUGAUUGUCUUCGUCCCAGGGUCUGGUCCACGUGUGAUGCUGCCAGACUGUCCUCGUUACUUUGGAGAGGUGGACGUCACCACGUGGGAGGAGAAAGGCUCUGAUUGACAGCCAAGUUAACCAAUGGACGACUGUGUAGCCUUUAUGGACCCGUAGGACAAAAGGCAAUUUUCUUUUACAAAAUAAGAGUUCUCGACCUUAUUUUUUUUAGUAAGACCCUAAAACAGAUUGGUGAAUAAGA